rnacentral:misc_RNA from 1 species
AACUUUCGGCAAUGGAUCUCUUGGCUCUCGCAUCGAUGAAGAACGCAGCGAAAUUCGAUAAGUAAUGUGAAUUGCAGAAUUCAGUGAAUCAUCGAAUCUUUGAACGCACCUUGCGCCCUUUGGCUAUUCUGAAGGGCAUGCCUGUUUGAGUAUCAUGAACACCUCAACUCUCAUGGUCCGCCAUGAUGAGCUUGGACUUUGGGGGUCUUGCCGGCCCAGUGUCGGCUCCUCUCAAAUGGAUCAGCUUGCCAGUGUUUGGUGGCGUCACAGGUGUGAUAACUAUCUACGCUUGUGGUUUUCUGCCAUAUAACCUUCAGUGAUGGAGGUUCUCUGGAGCUCACAGAUGUCUCUCCUUGGGGAGGACAGCUUUUGAACGUUUGAUCUCAAAUCAGGUAGGACUACCCGCUGAACUUAAGCAUAUCAAUAAGCGGAGGCU